AAUAAAGUGUUUGAAAUAUAAAAAAAAAAAAAAGGUUUAUCCGAGGCGUGGUUAUUGCUAGUUGAAAACUAUACCCAAUACCCCGCGCUGAUGCCUGAAAUACGGCAGCAGUCGCAAUUUCUAAACGCCUCUACGGAGG